rnacentral:tRNA from 1 species
AGCACGGUGGUGCAGUGGGUAGCACUGUUGUCUCACAGCCAGAAGGUCCUUGGUUCAAAUCAGUGUAGAGUUU